rnacentral:rRNA from 1 species
UGAGGAACAUGACCUUCGGCGGGGGAGUAGCCGGCCCAACGGCCGGGUAAUACCGCGUACGACCACAUGGGGACAUCCCUGAGUGGUGAAAGCAGCAAUGCGCCGAUGGAGUGCCUCGCGGCCUAUCAGCUAGUUGGUGAGGUAACGGCUCACCAAGGCGACGACGGGUAGUNNUGUGUAGAG